GGCGAUGAAGUGAAGGGUUGUGCUAGAAAGCAGCGCUUCACAGAGCUCUAUGACGGUUUGACGUUUACCAAGAUCUAGCUUAGGUUUUGAACUGAAAGAAAACGUU
rnacentral:sRNA from 1 species